rnacentral:lncRNA from 1 species
UCUUCUUCGGUGUAAGCGAAGAUAGAAAACUAGGAAUAAACUUAGAAAAUAAUGAGGUAAUUAACAUGUUAUCUUAUCUUUAUCCAACAAAUUAAAAGAGAGAAAACGGUGGAAUUAAUAUAUGUAGGGAAGUAGAAUAUUUAGUUCAAUGGUUAAGCAUAUGAUAAUUCAAAAAUGGUAUACCCUAUAUGAAACCAUAUUUGAUUCCAUUUCAGCUCCAUCUGCAGAUACAAGAUGUUCAUUGCCACCUUUAAUGUUUAAGUCUAGCUGUACUGCACCCCCUUCAACUUGAGGCUUUAGUUCCUUAUGUUCUUCUGUCCCUAUUACUUCUUGAUAAUUGAAAGCUUGAGCAUGAUUCUUAUUAUGGAAUUCAUUCAUGUCUAGUAUGUUUUCUUUACUAUCUUUAUUCAUAUUUUCCAUGAAAUUUGUCAAAGCUGAGUUGAAUUCAGCCAAUUGAGCUUUUGAUGCAUCAAGAUUGCCUGGUCCAUCUUGAGGAAGGCUUGUUUGUGCUUUCUCUAACACUGCCUGCAAAUACUUUCCUUGAGCCUCUAUUCUCAUUUGCAAUUUAUUUUGUACCUAGAAUUAAACACUCCAAUUGGUUAGAAAUUCACUAGUUAGGGCUAAGGAUAUGUAUACUCCUUUGGUCUCUUAUUAUAAGACUCACAUACUAAUUUUAGUGGUAUUACGAAAAAAAAAAUAGUAUAUUAGCAAAUAAAUUUAUUAAAAAAAAUGCGUUAUUUUUCUAGAAGAAUCCUGCUGUAUGGUGCAAAGGACACAACGAACGAUCGGGCAUGAUACAUUAUAGGUAGUACUUUUAUGUUUUUAAAAUAAAAUUAAUGAUAAUGAAUUUACUUUUCUCAAUUGUCAAUUACAUAGGAAUAUUUUUGUAAAAAAAAUGAUUAAUACAUGUAAAAUUUUAAAAAGUGUCUUAUAGUGCAAGUAAA